ACAUGCUUCCUUAUAUGCCCAU
rnacentral:miRNA from 1 species